ACCGUAUGUGAGUGACGAGUGUCGGGUGAGUGUGCUAUUUUUAGAUCAAGUAUUUAAAGUGACCGGUUUGGGUGUAGUGGUCAGUAGAGGGUCCGGUAACAACAUCAGCCGGGUGCCACGUUUUGCAGCUCCUGAUUUAAGAAAUGGUGAAUAUCUCCAGUUAGUAUUAUACUGAGGAGAAACGGGUAACCAUUGAAUUCUGGGUUCUGUUAGGCGGGCACAUGUUUUCCUAGCCGACUGUGGGCGCUGGAUGGGAAUUCUCCUAUGGAAGGUCAUGUGGGCAACUGACGAAUGUCGGGGACGCAUUCUGUGCUGAGUGGGGUGUGGUUUUCUGUCCGGGUAGUGGUCGUAGACUGGAAGCGAGUGACCUGCGAGUCCGGGGCUUUCAGUUAGGAUAGCGACUAGAGGGACAGUAAAUUUAACGAGGGCAGGAACGUAUUGAGUGCGUGGUGUCCUUGAAGUGACUGAGUUACUUUUCAGAGAGAGUUUUAAUUAGAUUGGAGGUUUUAAGUGUUUAAAAGCGACUGUUAUUACAGGCUAAUUUUCAUAAACAUGAUUUUGAGCUGUUUGAAGUAAUGGUAAUAUCACGGUUUUUUGAAUUAUUGAACUUUAACAUUUUUUUGAGUAAAUUUUUCAACAAGAGUUUUAUUGGUUGAAAUAGCUUCUAAACAACAUUUUGUAGUUUACUUCCAUUUUUUAUCUGAUACAGUGUGAUUUAAUUUUGAAUUCAUUUGAUAGUAUCAUAUAUUUGUUCAUUUGUUUAAUUGAAUUAUUAUUCUUUUUUUUGUUUUGUUCGAAUGAAAGUGACGUGAAAGGGGGAGUGAGAAUAAUGAUUUUUGUUUAAUAAGCGUACUUAUUUUGUUAAAAGUAAAAUAUUUGUAGGC
rnacentral:sRNA from 1 species